rnacentral:ncRNA from 1 species
GAAAGCCGUAUGCUUUGGAAGAAGCUUGUACAGUUUGGGAAGGGGUUUUGAUUGAUAAGAAUACCGUAUGUGAUGUCGUUUACCUCAUAUUUUAAU